CCCCGGGAGGGACGAGCCGGCAAGGAUUGGCAAGUACUGGGGAAAGCCUGCAGAGAAGGUACGGAGCACAGCAAAAUGGAGAAGGCGAGGAAGAGACGAGUUGCUGGUGGCCCUGUAGUCAUUUUAGGAUGCCCAAACGUUCAAUGAUCACUUCUGGACAUAGAGCGAAAGUCAUCUAUUUUUAUGAUUCUAUAUUUGAAGCUGAAUCUUCCAAAGAACGUAUUAAUGACCGAUAUGUAAUCUUUUUCAAUACCAUAGAUCGGUAUAAUUAAGAAACAUACUAGGUUUUUUUAAUUCAAUAAAGAUUUAAAUUUUUAAAA